UAAGGCUGAACAGCCCGUGGUACGAACGGAAAAA
rnacentral:misc_RNA from 1 species